AGGAUGAUAAUGAAAUAUAUACGAGGAGCAAGCAAGUAAGAGAGAGCCAGUCGCACGCAGUCUUUCCUUUCUUCUUAUUACUAGUGCAAGUCAAGUGGUGGUGGUUUGUUCGUGUUUAGUAGUUGGUUCGUAUUAUAGUGGGAUGGCAGACAGAGUUGCUUGCUGGCUGGCUAAAAAAUAACGUCCUCCAUAUCCAGCUCAUAGAAAUCGAGGCGUAUUAUAAACCCAACAACACACACCCGUGUGUACGAGAAAAGAAGAUGGUUUUUGAUAGAGACGGAGAGAGAUGACAAAGAUGUUUUUUGUUUGAUGACAGAAGAAAGAUAUAUAUGAGUUGCGCUAAUGAAGCGUAAAUGAUUUAUAAGAAGAGUUGUUUGGAUUUCCGGUUAAUUGUUUAAUUUAUGCCGAGUCUAGAUUAAGGUAGGGUGAAGAUUGGUGAUUAAGAAUUCUUUGGAAAAUGUUGAAUGCUAAUGAGUAUGAAUAAAGGAUUAGACAUAA